rnacentral:lncRNA from 1 species
UCCAAAGUAUACCCAUACUUAUACACUACAAUUCCUAAUAUUCAGUUAACCCAACUAACAACAGUUUAAUUUCCACCAACAACUAAAUUAAAUCUUAUUUAAUUUCAUAGUCCUCAUACUCCUCAAGACGAAGGUAGUAUUUUCAUACGGAGUCUUGAACCACUCCUGACCCAUCUAUCGUAUAGAUUGAAAUUAACAUCCAAUAGCUUGCUUUAGAGUAGUAUACAACUUCAUGAUUAUUGAUUAAUUGGAUUGAUAUCUUCUAACUCUACUCUGUUUUCCUUCCCUUCUUGCUUUCCAAUUGUUCCUGAAAAGAAUAAAAUACAACCACAGCACAACAUAUCCUACAAAAAAAACUGCAGAAAAAUCGGGUAUGAAAAAAACAACAGUUCAACAUAUCAAUCACAUAUGAUCACAAAACAUCAAACAAACAGAGUAUAAUUCUAGUAGUUUAAUCAAAAUACCAGUUCAACAGUAAACAUCCUGUAGUUUAGUCAAACAGUAACUUGGUUUACAACAUCCUGUAAACACAUUUCAGAAAUAUGAUUUAUUUCAGAACCAGCCUGUAAACAGUAAUUGAGGCUUCCCUCAACAGGAUAUAAAAAUAUAAAAAAACUUAGAUUUAAAAAAAAUCAGAAUUCAAGAAAUUUACUUUUUUAGAAAUAUUAACUUUUAUGGAAAUUCUUAAUAACUGGUCAGAUCUUAAAUGGCAAUUUAGAUCUCAAGACUCUUGAGUUUUAUUUUUAAAACUCCCCAAAUUUUGACACUUUUUUUUUUUUGCAAAUAUUAAAAGUUUUCAUUAAAAAAUAAUGAAGGGUAAUACCCUGAAAUACAAUUAAAUAGGAAAAUAAAAUGCGGUGGGGUUGAUAUUGUGAUAUCUACUAUAUCGACCUUCUCCUAUGUAGCUAUCCUUCCUAGUGUUCUAACUAAGAAUUUGGCCUCAGGAGGGUUGUCUCCCAAAUCUGCAUAAUAGUCCUUUCCAAUUGUGAACCACAUUCUUUCUUAAAGAUAUCAGCUUUAAAAGAUAUUCUGCAGUCCUUUACUAUAUCAGCUAAAACGACUUCUGGGGGUCUGAGAGGGUGCUGGUGGAGCCUCCUGUUUCGUUCGAACCAAAUGUGCCAUGUGAGGCAACCAAUAGCAUUCCAAUGUAGGCCCCAUGGAAGAGUUUGAUGCGUCAGUUUUUGACAUGAUUCUAUUACAUCUCCAAUUCUAAUAUCUGGAUGUGUGAGGGUCGGAAUGAGGGAGUUUGAUACUUUCCAGAGGGCCUGGUUGAGAUGUUCAGAGAGUUGUAGAAGAAGUUUUCUAGUAUAGGGGCAAUUAAAAAAUAGGUGGCCGAUGGUCUCAAUUCCCUGAUCACAGAGGAGGCAGGUUGGUUGUAUGAAGACACCCCAUGCGAUGAGCAUCUGUAGAGUUUUGAUUUGUUUAUUUUUUAUCCUCCACAACAUUACUGAGAAUUUUGUCGGCAUAUGAGACCAUAUGCCUUUGGCUAGAGGGUUCUUAGGGGCCUUGGUUCUUAAGGCUUCAAUGAUGGUUCCUAAGUUCUGUUUUCCAUUUUCAAUUUUCCAAAUUAGAGAAUUUCCGGCCCUGCAUUCCAAGCAUUGAUUGAUUUUUCCUUUGGAGUCUAAGAUCUCUUUCCAUUGGGCAAAGUCAAUGGAGUGUUUAGAGAUAAUGUUGUUAAGAGCCAUGCCUUUGGUGUAUCUUCUCUGCAUCUAUUGUGCAAAUAUAGAUUGCUUACCCCAUAUUGUGGCUGCUUUUUUAAUAGGGGCAGUAGAGGCUAUCAUUUGGAGGUUUCUAACCCCUAAUCCUCCCCCCUCCUUAGGUAGAAUCAUUAAUGACCAUGGUAUCCCUCUCCUACCAUCCCAAAUGAACUGGUAGGCCAGCCUUUGUACUUUUUUGUGGACAGAGGAAGGUAGGUUGAUGCCUUAGGCCCAAUAUGUGUAUUUUCCAGCUAGUAUCCAGUUUAUUAGUUGGAUUCUACCUCCAUAGGAGAGCCAUUUACCGCUCCAUUUAGCUAGCAAGCCUUCUAUGGGUUGUAUUAGCUUCCAACAUUGGUUGUAUGAUUUCUUCUUCCCUGUUAUGAGGAGAGGCCUAGAUAAACUAUAGGGAGUUUAGAAACUGGGAAAUCAAGGAUCUGUUGGAGUUCUGUGGAGCUUUCACAUAUCUUGGAGAAGGUGAUAGAACUUUUUUGAGGAUUGAUCGUUAGGCCUGUGAAGGCUGAGAAUGUCUCUAGUAUGCUUUUAACGGCCUUUAGAGAUUUGGGAUUGGCUUUAGAGAAGAGCAGGAUAUCAUCUGCAUACAUUAAGUGAGUUACGGAUGUCGCUCCAUUGACUAUAUAUGAGUCAUAUUUUCUUUCUAUUACCUCCUUUUCAAUUAGUCUACUUAGUAUAUCCAUCACCAUGUCAAAGAGAAUGGGGGAGAGAGGGUCUCCUUGCCUAAUGCCUCUUUGACUCUUGAAUAGAGGGGUGGGGGUGCCUUCAACUAAUAUUGAGAAGGAAGCUGAGGAGAUACAGUUCCAGAUUAUCUUACAGAAUAGGUUGGAGAAGCCAUACACUUGUAAUGUGGCAAUUAGGGUCUCCCACCUCACCGUGUCAAAAGCUUUCCUUAGGUCAAUGCUGAUACAACAUCUAUUGGGGGUUCUUUUCCUGCAGAACCCAUAAAGCAUCUCAUCAGCCAACAUGGUGUUGUCAGAGAUGUUUCUUCCUUUUAUAAAAGCAGCUUGGUUGGCUGAUAUCAGUUCACUUGAGACCUUUGAUAUUCUAUCCGCUAGUAUUUUGGUGAGAAGCUUAUACAUGAAGUUUACAUAAGAUAUGGGUCUGAAAUCCCCCAGCUCAGAGGCAGUUGGGAUUUUCACACUUUCUUAUUAUAAUCCUUCUUGUCAAUUCCAUAAACCUGUCACUUCCUAAUGAUUUUAUGAAUAAAUCUGUCAAUUGAUCAAUCGUCGGUAUAUAUUGUAUUUUUAAAGAUCCUCUCUUAAUUAACUCUCUAACAUAAUGAUAGUCUGUAUUUAUGUGUUUGGACCUAUACUACUAACUAGAUUUGAAGCAAGAAAUAUUACAUAAAUAUUAUCAUAGUAUAAGGUUGGUGAUGGGAUAAAGAUCCCUAGGUCUCUCUACACAACAGAGACCACCAUAUAAUUCUCUCGGUUGUAGUAUACCCUAUAGAUCUGUAUUUUGACUCUGCACUUGAUCUUGACAAUGUAGCUUGCAUUUUAGAUGAUCGUAUAAAUCAAAUUGCUAUCCAAGAAUAGACAAAUGUCUGUUAAAGACUUCUUAUCAUUCGGGUCACUUGCAAAAUCUGAGUCACAAAACCUUAUUAUAUAUUCUUGUUGAGACAGAUCUUGUAAUAUGCAAACCAUUUAAUAUUAUUCCUUUAACAUAACUUAGAAUUCUUUUUUUUUUUUUUGAAGCAAUUAAAUUUCAUUAGAAUAAGGCUAAUGCCAAGUUUACAAAAUAGAGAAUAGAAAUAAAAAUAGAAGUAAAAAGAAAUGAGCAAAAUGCUCAUUGACUCUCUCCCAUUAGCUAUGUAGUCUAGUUAUACAGUAACUAGAUACGCUGUCUCAGAAAGUUGGUCUCCCAUACUUCCAUCAUAGAUGUCUCUAAAGGGUGACAACAGCUUUUCUUGUAAUACACUGAAUCAAAGGAGAGACUGAUGUCUUUAAUGACCUCCUUAAAGACUACCUCAGGAGGCCUACUAAUGUGCUGCCUACACCUUUUAUUUCUUUCCGUCCAUAUAUGCCACGACAAGCACCCAAUAGCAUUCCAUAUUAACCCCCAAGGAGGAGGAGUGGCGCGUAAUCUUUUGUGUUGCCUCCGUCAGAUCCCCCAAUCUAAUAUCUGGACUUGAUUGGGUGGGAACUGGAAUAUUCAUUAUUUUCCAGAAAGCGAAAUCCAGUUGUUCCGCCAACGAAAUUAAGAGAGAUCUGGAAUAAGAACAGUUAAAGAAAAGAUGACUCUUAGUUUCAUCUCAUCUUCCACUUCCAGAUUACAUAGCAAGCAAGCAAGAGGUACUUGUACUCUCCAACUUCUUAAUUUCCUGAACUUGUUUAGAUGAUCCCAUUUCACCCUCCACAAGAGAAUAGAGAAUUUUGUCGGCAUCUUCGACCAAAUUCCCUCAGCUAACAUGUCUUUAUGCUUUCUAUCUCUAAUACUUUCCACUAUUCCCCCCAAUUUAUUUAUCGGAGUACCAGAUCUCCACAUAAUCGUACUAUUCGCUCUACAAUCCAAACAUUUAUCCACUAGGCUUCUUUCUGAAACAAAAGCUUUCCAAAAAUGCGAAUCCACAGUAGGUCUGAUUUGUAUAUCAUUAAACGUCUUUCCUUUAAUAUACCUAUCUUGGAUCCAUUUUACCAGAAUAGAAUCGCUCUUAUCCCAGUACUUUGAAGCUCUUUUAAUAUUGGUUGCAGUGGUGAUAAUAGGAAGGUCUCUAACCUCUAGACCCCCUUCAGACUUGGAAAGGAUCAUUUGGGCCCACGGGAUCCCUUUCCUUCCGUCCCAUAUAAAUCUAUAAGCUAACCUUCUCACCUUCUUAGCCACAGAAUCAGGGAUAGCCAUACCUUGCGCCCAAUAAGUAUACUUUCCAGCUAUUAUUCAGUUAACUAAUUGUAUUUCCCACUCCAUCUUGCUAGGAGCGCCUCUAUAGACUGGAUUAGCUUCCAGCACUGUCCAAAUGACUUUUUCUUUCCCGUAAUUGGUAACCCUAGAUAUGUUAUAGGUAGACUUUUAACAGUAUAUCCUAAGAUAUUAUGUAAAGAUCGAUUUUUUGCACAUACUUUUGAGAAGAUGGAGGAGCUCUUGCUCGCAUUUACUUCCAAUCCCGAGAACAAUGAGAAUUUCUCAAGCACCGUUUUAAUUGCAUUAAGCGAUUUCAGGUUUGCCUUUGAAAAUAUAAAGAUAUCAUCCGCAUACAUGAGGUGAGAUAUAGAAGUAACACCAUUCACCUGAUAAGUGUCUAUUCUUUUGUUCUUUACUCCAUUCUGUAUCAACCUACUUAGAACAUCCAUAACCAUAUCAAAUAGAAUAGGAGAUAGAGGAUCACCUUGUCUAAUCCCCCUCUGGCUUUUGAAGGGAGGCGUUGGAGUCCCUUCCACCAGCACCGAAAAAGAUGCAGAGGAUAUGCAAUUCCAAAUCUUAGAAUUCUUUUAGCUGUUGUUAUAUGUGUAGUUCUAGGUAUCUGUAGGAAUUAAGAUACUUGGUUCACAUAGUAUGUCAAAUCAGGUAUGGUCAUUGUUAGAUACUGUAGCGAUCCAACAAGCAUUCUAAAUGGUGUAGGAUCCUUUAGAAUUUCUGCCUCAUUAGCUACCAAUUUUGAUCAUGACAAUGUUGGUGAUCUAGCAGGUUUGCAUAAUGACAUAUUGAACUUGACUAAUAAUUAUGCUGCAUAUCUUGAUUGUGUAAGCAUAAGAGAUUUAUCAUUUUAUUUGGUAACUAGCUUCAAUUUCAAGAAAUGUUUUGAGGAGUCUUAGAUCUCGACAUUUAAACUGCAAGCAAAUUAUUUUUAUAAUAUUUUCUAUUGCUUGAAUAUUAUCUCUAGUUAUUAUCAUAUCAUCAACAUAAACUAGAACCCAUAUAAUGUAAUUAUGCUUUUUCAGCACAAAUAAUGAUGCAUCUGCUGGACUCUUCUUAAAUCCAAUCUUCACUAAAAAGUCACUCAAUCUAGCAUACCAAGUCUUUGAUGCUUUCUUUAGACCAUAAAUGGAUUUUCUAAACCUGCAUACAUGACAAGGAUACUUGUUAUCUAUAUACCUUGGAGGUUACUUCAUAUAAACUAUUUCUGACAACUCUGCCUGCAGAAAAGAAUUACUCAUAUCCAUCUUCCUUAAUAUAUAUCCUUUUGUCACUUCUAUGGCUAAUACUAUCCUAAUCGUGGGUGAUUUUACUACAGGAUUGUAUAUCAGAUUGAAAUCUAUGCCCUCUAUUUGCUUAAAUCCUUGGGCUACUAAUAUGGCUUUAUACCUAUCAAUCGAGCCAUUAUUCUUUCUCUAAAUCUUAUAUGCCCACUUACAUCCAACAAUAUUAUUCAUUGAAGACUCUAAAGGUACUAUCUCCCAAGUUUGAUUUUCCUUAAGAGCAUCAUAUUCUUCACCCAUAGCCUUACACCAUUUUUCUGACUUAAGUGUUUCUCCUAGCCCUCUUGGUUCUUUUUUUUGUAAGUCAAAUAUGUCUGUUAUAAAGGCCUUUAGAAGCAAAUAACUUAACCUAAAAUCUUUAGCAAGUCCCAAUGGUGCAAAUUUUAAUCUCUUACUUAAUCUUCUUAAUUCUUCCGUUGGGAUUGCAUUCAUUCUUUUAUUCACAGGAUAUAUUUGUCUACUAACAGGUGAGGCAUAGAUCGUGGAAUCACUUACGUGUAGUGGACCGAAAGGUGAUGGCAGAGUUUUCCCUUGGCAAAGGACAAGAUGCCAUGGGCACACCAGGGUUUUUACACUCCCCAUUGCCCUAGGCCCAUUAUGUAAGAACGAUGAGGAAUAGAUCGUUCUAGGAAACAUCGAGUCAGUUCCCCAAAGGUUGUGAAGACCCAAACGAUCGUAAGAUCCGGGGCUGAAACAAUGCGGAGGGUGUGAGGUGGAUCGCAUGUGAUCACACUCCUUUUUUUGUUUCGGAAUCUAUAUUAUCAGUUGGUUUUGUCUCAAAAAAAAGAUGUCCUAAUCUCAUUAUCUUCAUUCUUUAUUUGUUCAAUAGAACUAUUUUCUUGAUUAGGUUUUCAUGUUUCUUCUCUACUUUUACUCUGACUUAUCUCAGAUGUACUAUUAGGAUCUAUUGCAGAGUUUCCUAAUUCCCCAACAUAUGACUCUUGACUUCCAUUAUUUUGAUUUUCAACAACUAAGUUCUGAUUAUUCCUAUUAAAUAUGAAUUUGGAUAUAUGAAUGUUAUCUAUUACUUUCAAAUUUUUAAACCAUAAAUUUUUAUUAGGUGUUUCUAAUUCUUUAGUAUACUGAAAUGGAAAAAUUCCUUCAUGGAACUUUACAUGUCUUGAAACAGUCACUUUGUUUGUUCCUAAAACUAAACAUCUAUAACCUUUAUGUUUAGGAGAGUACCCUAGAAAAAAACACCUAGGUUCCUUAGGGGAAAAUAUCUCUUUUUGUCUUAGGUAGAAGUGGAAAGCAUAAAGAUCCAAAAAAUCCUUAAAUAAUUGUAGUAUGAUCUUCUGUUAAACAAAAUUUCAAAUAGAGAUUUAUUUUCUAUAUGUGGGUGGAGAAGGUAACCUAUUUAUUCUAAAAAUUGAUAUUAAAGCAGCUUCAACCCAAGAGAUUCUAGACACUUUAUAUUUGAAUAGUAAAUACCAAUGUUGUUUCAAUUAAGUGUCUUAUGUUUUCUUUCAGCUAUACCUAUCUGUUCAGGGGUAUAGGGAGAAGAAAAUCUCUAAGAAUUCCUUUUGUAUUUUGUGUAGAUUUUGAAUUCCUUAAUUCUCCUCCAGAAUCCAAUUGAAUUAUCUUAAAGAUUUUCAACAUUAUUUUGAAAUACUUUAAAAUUGCUGAAAACUUCACUCUUAUUAUUCAGUGGAUAAAUCCAGGUAUAUGUACUAAAUUGAUCCACUAUAACUAAAUAAUAUUUAAAUCCUGAAAUUGAGAUAGUAAGGGCUGGUCCCCAAACAUCUAGAUGAAAUUGGUGGCAUAUACCUCUCUUCUAUUAAAAGUCAAUUUAUGCAUUUUAUUUAAAAAACAUACUUCACAACAAAAAGUUUUAUUUAUUUUUGUAUUACAAAUUUGAUUUACAAUCCUACUAUUAGCAUAACACAAACGAUCAUGCCAUACCUUUUUAUUACUAACAAAACUUAGUGAAGCACUAUAUGCUACUCCAUUCUCCUUUCUCCUUGUUGUAAGUGCUGACACAUGACUGUACACCAGUCACUCCCGUCAACAGGAACUAGGGUUUCGUUCGCUUUAUAUCGAACCCUCAGAAGUCUCACGAAAGCGAAACUAAAAGUGUUCGUCGAGACCCGAGUCAAUUCUCCAAAUCGCCGAUUGGGUCUGCCAAAUCGUCGAUUAGGGUGGCAAAUCGCCAGAGUCUGGCAGACUGCCGAUCUUCCCUCUGAACUUGUCGAUUUCACCCCCAACUGCAAAUCGCCUGAUAUUUUGUGUAUAUAUAUAUUUUUUAAUUACCUCUAAUUGCUUUACCCUAAUUUACAGCACACAUUAUAAGCAUAAUAUCUUUAGUAUUGAUAUAGAUAAAACAUACCAGUGACUACAUUUGGUGAAGUUUCUGCAUCUUGUUUUGUGAGGGAAAAUGUCUUUGCCUUCACCCUUCUACGUUCAUCAUCUGCAAUGCGUCGCGGACAAUCUCUGAUAAAGUGGUCCACCACGCCGCAUUUUAGACAUGCUCCUGUAAUUUUGUAGCUCUCUUUGCCUGGAUGGGAUUUUUGGCAAUGGGCACAUACAUCCUGUUCACUUGUUAUCAUUAGUCAUAGUUUCUCUAUUAUUAAAUACACACUUUUUUUUUAACUACUUAACCUCACCUGUUUAUGAUCUCCAGAGGAUGGUGCGAUCUUGUCGGUAAGUUUGGGUCUCUUGUUAGGUCCCUCUUCUAUUGCUCUGCGUUUGUUCAAUCCUCUCUUGAAAAGCUCAUCCUGGCGGUACGCACAAUCUACAGCUUUAUUCAGAGUGUCGGGGUCCCUAGACAUCACCUUGGAUUGAAGGCCGUACUACAAUCCCAUUAUAAAUUUUCGUACCCGACCUGCUUCGUCUACACAUAGAGUUGGAAAAUGUUUUUCCAGCCUCACAAACUGGUUCGCAUACUCUAUGACCGUCUUAACACCUUGCACUAAAUCUCGGAAUUUGUCAUGUGCCUCAUCGAUCAGGUGUCUAGGAUGGAACUUUAUCUCGAACUCCUGACAAAAGUCUCUCCAAGUGAUCAGUUCGGCCCCAGUGAAACUGAUGACUUUUUUACCUUUCCACCAAUCUUUUUAGCGUACUCUCGGAGUAGGUACAUACCAAAAAUCACUUUCUUCUCUUCUAGCACAUCCAACAUCUCGAAGUUGGACUCAAUAGUGUCUAGCCAGCUGUCAUCCUCAUCCAACGUUUCUGUCCCCAUGAAGAUCAGGGGAUUAGUCUUGUUGAACUCAGAAAAUGUUACAGGCCUACUCACAGGUUGCGGCGAGGCUCGUUUUCCUCCAGCCAUCUGUACAAUUGGAAGAAACUCAUCAGAUCCAUAAUUCACUUUUUCUAUUAGGAUAACUAACUAUUUACGCCCCAAGAACCGAAUAGUUCUUGGGUUGGGCUCUGAUACCAUUUUGUAACAUCCUACUUAAGUAUGUUAACAAUCUGAUACUAAAAUUGGCAACAAAAGGAAUGUACGAGUCUAAUAAUCUCAUAAUAAAAUAACCAACAAAACUAGAAUUUCAAAUGUAACUAAAACAAGGUUUUGCUAACAACAUUGUUUAAGAUCUAAUUUAAUGAUUGAAAACUCCGAGGUGCCCCAUCCCGUCCUCGCGUCCCGUUACGUCUACUUCCACCCUACCACAUCACAAAUCAAAAUAGGGAUGAGUCACUAUAUCAUGACUCAACAUGGUUUCCCCCUACAUAUAAGUCAGACCGCAUGGUAAAGUAAUUAAAAUCACAAUUAUCAAGUAGAUCAUAAUACUUAUUCACUAUAUUAUAACACUCACAUUUCACAUAUAAUUUUGACAUUCAAUAACACUCACGCUGCAGUUGUCAUUUGGUUCAUACCAACACUCCCAUCACUCACUAACACUUAACUUAUAUAUCCAUCACAAGAUUUCAUAUAUAAAUUCACAAACCAAUUAAAUCAUGACGAAAAAUGUAAACUCAUCUGGUAUAGGCGCGCAAAUCUGUAAAUAACAGUGAAUAUAUCCAACUCAAGAGUAAAAAUCCAUAGUGGAAAUAAAAUUCUAAACUCGUAUAACUCAAUCUGAAAAUUCUAAAUGUCAGGUAAAACUCUGAAAGAAAGAGUAUGAAUUCUGAAAAUCAUAGUACAUAACAGAGAUAAACGAAAAAAAACGAAUCAAAUGACAUGUGUCUCAAGAACCAUGGGAUCAUAAAACUCUAACAAUCAUGUAAAUCAAGUCUGAAAAUUCUAAAUUUCGGAUAAAACUCGUAAAGAAAGAGUUUGAAUUCUGAAAUCAAAUUGCAUGACAUGUGUUUAAAUAAAUAUCAAAUCCAUUGUCUAAUUUCACCCUAAUAAAAUAAAUCUCAACUCCACCGAUACUACAUCGGUGUCCAGCAUAACUCUGUUUAAAAUACUGCACUAUAAAACAGAAUAUAGCUCAGAAAAAAAAACACUCACGGAAGUUCAGAUCACCCCCCCAAUUCAGCCCUGUAAAUAAUUAAAACAAAAUAUAACACAGCUAUUAAACAACUCACGGGAGUUCACGUCACCCCCAAUUCAACCCUGUAAAUCAUACACCAUAAAACAGAACAUAGCACAGCUAUGCAACAACUCAGGAAAUUUCAGAUCAACCCCAGUUCAGCCCUGUCGAUCAUCACUCAAUACCCAUGGUAUUUAUCCAAGAUAUCAACCCAAUACAAACUAAUCUGCAUAUGGUAAGGCAUCUGAUACAAUCUAUAACACAUUUUAUUAAAAACACUUGCACUAUCUAUUAAACAAACACAUCAGUGUCACAUACUCGGACUCCCUUGUCUCCCAAAUCCACUAAAUAAAUCAAUAGAACCCAAACAGUACAUAGUAAUCACACAAUCUGUAAAUUAAUUAUCUCAUGGAUAUACCCAAUCUGCAACUAUUAUGCAACAUUUCAGCAAACCCAAUCAAAGCUACUAUGCAUUUCUAAUCAAAUGUUACCCAUAGCACACACUACCGAUGCAUUUAGAUGACUAUUCACCACUCAAUCCCAUACCUCGUUUUGUUUUUGAGACCUUUCUACACACAAUCCACACCAAGCUUUCUAACCACCUCGCUCGUUUCCCGGAUGGUCCCUCGCCGGAAUUUCGUCGUCUUGCUGGAAUAGCUGCCCUUCUCCUUCCACUCACGUUUUUCUCUCCAUUCUCUCUUUCCAUCCUUUGUCUAUAUAUUCGUCCCUUUUCUUUCUAAACCCUAACCAUUAUUUUAACAUGGUUUCACUUGAAUGGGC